rnacentral:rRNA from 1 species
ACAGCGAAAGCACCGGUAAUACCCGAUGACCCCGCGGGAUCGCAUGAUCCUGCGGGCAAAGGCUCCGGCGGUCUGGGACCGGUCCAUCUCCUAUCAGCUUGUUGGUGAGGUAACGGCUCACCAAGGCAUCGACGGGUAGCGGGCGUGAGAGCGUGGCCCGCCACAUCGGGACUGAGACACUGCCCGGACACCUACGGGUGGCUGCAGCAACGAAUAUUCCGCAAUGGACGCAAGUCUGACGGAGCGACGCCGCGUGCAGGAAGAAGUCCUUCGGGAUGUAAACUGCUGUCAGGGGUUAGGAAUACCGACCAGCCCCAGAGGAAGCACCGGCUAACUCCGUGCCAGCAGCCGCGGUAAUACGGAGGGUGCAAGCGUUGUUCGGAAUCACUGGGCUUAAAGGGCGUGCAGGCGGAACGGAAAGUGUCGGGUGAAAGCCCACGGCUCAACCGUGGAACGGCCCGGCAAACUAUCGUUCUUGAGGCAGGUAGAGGUGACUGGAACGACUGGUGGAGCGGUGAAAUGCGUAGAUAUCAGUUGGAACGCCGGAGGCGAAAGCGGGUCACUGGGCCUGUCCUGACGCUGAGACGCGAAAGCGUGGGGAGCAAACAGGAUUAGAUACCCUGGUAGUCCACGCCGUAAACGAUGCGCACUAGGUAUGAGAGGCUCUGACGCCGAUCGUGCCGCAGGAAACCUGAUAAGUGCGCCGCCUGGGGAGUACGGCCGCAAGGCUAAAACUCAAAGGAAUUGACGGGGGCUCACACAAGCGGUGGAGCAUGUGGAUUAAUUCGAAGCAACGCGAA